UUAAUUCGAAGCAACGCGAAGAACCUUACAGGCCUUGACAUGCAGAGAACUUCCAGAGAUGGAUUGGUGCCUUCGGGAACUCUGACACAGGUGCUGCAUGGCUGUCGUCAGCUCGUGUCGUGAGAUGUUGGUAACGUCCCGUAACGAGCGCAACCCUUGUCCUUAGUUACCAGCACGUUAUGGUGGGCACUCUAAGGAGACUGCCGGUGACAAACCGGAGGAAGGUGGGGAUGACGUCAAGUCAUCCAUGGCCCUUACGGCCUGGGCUACACACGUGCUACAAUGGUCGGUACAAAGGGUUGCCAAGCCGCGAGGUGGAGCUAAUCCCAUAAAACCGAUCGUAGUCCGGAUCGCAGUCUGCAACUCGACUGCGUGAAGUCGGAAUCGCUAGUAAUCGUGAAUCAGAAUGUCACGGCGAAUACGUUCCCGGGCCUU
rnacentral:rRNA from 1 species